CCUCCACAGACGAGCCGCAGCUCUCCAGCUCUCCAUCCGGCAGAGAAGCAGUGGAGCCGGGCUGAGAGUCGCCAGACCUGACGAGGAAGCAUCUCCGAGACUGACCCGAUAUAUCAACAGGUCACUGCAGAGCUCUUUAGCGAGAGGCAAAACGCUUCCUCGUCCACCUGCACACUGUGAGUAACCGUCAGCAUAUCGGCCAUCUG